rnacentral:rRNA from 1 species
UUCCCGACCUCGGAUCAGGCGUGAUUACCCGCUGAACUUAAGCAUAUCACUAAGCGGAGGAAAAGAAACUAACAAGGAUUCCCUCAGUA